UUUUCUUUUCUUCUUUUCCUUUUUGUUUUCCCGUCAUUUCUAUCUGAAUUCCCCUAUUUCUUUUCCUCCUUUUGUUUCUUACGAUCUCAAAUCCCUAAUACCCAAUCCCUUAAACAAAAAAUCCCCAAAAUACGAUACUAUCUCUCUCUCUUUCACGACUGCAAAUAGCGACAGUGGCAGUAGCAGCAACAAGGAGGGACGACAACGAGCAGCAAGCAACGAUGGUGAGCAGCGAGUGACGACAGCUAGCAGCGGCGACUACCACUGCCGUCGCCACCACCUCCUCCCUCACCGCCCUCUCUCUCUUCUUUUAUUCUUUUCACUGAUCUUCAUCGGUCGUCUACUUCGUCUUCUCCACUCUCGUCAUCGGUUCCAAAACCCCAACCAUACCUUUAAUCUUCUUCAAUCCCUCCACAACCCAUAUGUUCGAAUCCAGAGCCUACACUUCCCUCAACUGUUUCAGAACUUUUCUUUACAUAGGACUACCACUGGACUCGUCAGAAUGGCAAUCUCGAACAGGCUGAUUGCGAUGAGAAAGAUCAGGCGGCGAGGCACAUUAAUGCGUCAGAAAUGAAAUCGAAAGAUGGAUAGUUCAUCUGUGCCCUAAUUUUUCUCUCAAUUUCUGUUCAAAUGGGAUUCUCAGAUUGGUCUUAAUGUGAUUUCCCUUGCACCUCAUUCAGGUUGCACAACAGAAGUUAUCUUAAUUGAGGCCUAUCUGCAGAAAACUAGAGAAGAGAAACAAACGAAGGUUUCUUCACAAUUAUGUUCACCUAAGAAAUUUUCUGAAUUUGCUUUUGCAUAGCUUGGAAUUGCUUCACAUUCUCUUCUUUCCUCAGUUGCAUUUCCCGUAGAGCUGGGGUGUACAGGUACCAGAACGCAGCUAGAAGCGUCAGAGUAGACUCCUGUUUUGUCAAGCCAACCUAUGUGCCUCACUGCGAGGUUCCAAGCUUGCCAUGCUACGGCUUAGGGCUCUUUUAUUUCCCCCUUCUGUCUCUGUAUCUGUUUUGUGAACUGUAUAGGCUGAUAGCACUGUACUGUACUACUCUAUAAGGGAUUGAGUCCCUAUUCGGAAUGAAUGUAAAUAUUGUACAUACU